rnacentral:rRNA from 1 species
AAACUUAAAGGAAUUGACGGGGACCCGCACAAGCGGUGGAUGAUGUGGUUUAAUUCGAUGCAACGCGAAAAACCUUACCCACCUUUGACAUGUACGGAAUCCUUUAGAGAUAGAGGAGUGCUCGAAAGAGAGCCGUAACACAGGUGCUGCAUGGCUGUCGUCAGCUCGUGUCGUGAGAUGUUGGGUUAAGUCCCGCAACGAGCGCAACCCUUGCCAUUAGUUGCUACGAAAGGGCACUCUAAUGGGACUGCCGGUGACAAACCGGAGGAAGGUGGGGAUGACGUCAAGUCCUCAUGGCCCUUAUAGGUGGGGCUACACACGUCAUACAAUGGCUGGUACAGAGGGUUGCCAACCCGCGAGGGGGAGCUAAUCCCACAAAGCCAGUCGUAGUCCGGAUCGCAGUCUGCAACUCGACUGCGUGAAGUCGGAAUCGCUAGUAAUCGCGGAUCAGAAUGUCGCGGUGAAUACGUUCCCGGGUCUUGUACACACCGCCCGUCACACCAUGGGAGCGGGUUCUGCCAGAAGUAGUUAGCCUAACCGCAAGGAGGGCGAUUACCACGGCAGGGUUCGUGACUGGGGUGAAGUCGUAACAAGGUAGCCGUAUCGGAAGGUGCGGCUGGAUCACCUCCUUUUG